rnacentral:rRNA from 1 species
AGAGUUUGAUCAUGGCUCAGAACGAACGCUGGCGGCAUGCCUAACACAUGCAAGUCGAACGAGACCUUCGGGUCUAGUGGCGCACGGGUGCGUAACGCGUGGGAAUCUACCCUUGGGUUCGGAAUAACUCAGAGAAAUUUGAGCUAAUACCGGAUGAUGUCGCAAGACCAAAGAUUUAUCGCCCAAGGAUGAGCCCGCGUAGGAUUAGCUUGUUGGUGAGGUAAAAGCUCACCAAGGCGACGAUCCUUAGCUGGUCUGAGAGGAUGAUCAGCCACACUGGGACUGAGACACGGCCCAGACUCCUACGGGAGGCAGCAGUGGGGAAUAUUGGACAAUGGGCGAAAGCCUGAUCCAGCAAUGCCGCGUGAGUGAUGAAGGCCUUAGGGUUGUAAAGCUCUUUUACCCGGGAUGAUAAUGACAGUACCGGGAGAAUAAGCCCCGGCUAACUCCGUG